rnacentral:lncRNA from 1 species
UGGAACACCCCACUCAGAAUUUCCAUCAGAGCAAGUGCACCGCUAUGUUCUCGCAAAAUCUUCUCAAGCUAAAAUCUGCGCCUCAGAAAGUAUGGUCCUACGAAAAAGGGCAAGUAGCCAGCGCGAAAACACAUAUCAUAACUGAUAAACAAACAUGCCAUUUUGUUCUCUACUAAUAAAUUCAAGUCUUGUGCUGAAGUGGAUUUUUGGAUUUACUAAUUUAUAACUGAUAACAUUUUCACAUAUAAUAUUCUAUAAAGAAGUGUUAUAUAUGUUGAUUAGAUACAGACUCCACACCAUGUUGCUCAACCAAAUUUGUAAUAUCUUGAAAUGGUGUACAUGCUUGUGCGUCAAUGGAACAUAUGUACAUAGUAUCUUCCAGAGGCUGAAGUUGUUCCUUUCUUUACGACAGACGCUUGAGGUGUGCAGCACUGAACAAAAGAGCCUAUAGGAACAUAUAGUGUGUUUAGCACAAAAGAAGUUGUACAAGUUAUUCGAGGACAAGCACAUGAUUUCUAGUGUGUUAUUUAUGACACACAACUGAAUGAGAACUAGGAAAAUACAAAAUGUUCAAGAUAAAAUGUGAGUAUGAGAUGCGCCAAUUUGUUUAUUCAGAGGUGAGUUUCAAGGAAGUCAUUUGAAGUUACAUUAUUCAGAAACAUUGUUGCAAAAAUAGCAAGAUACAUAAUUAAAUCGAACAGUCACAUCAUAAUUCAAGUUACAUUAUGCAAAAAUCUGCCACCAUUGAUUGCUCUUGUGUGAUUAUUGUUGGGCCUGGAUGCCGUUGACGCUUACUCAAGCCACAAAAGCUGACAUCAGGGGAAGAAUUUGCUGGACCAUUGUUUUGAGGUGUUAAAUUAUAAUGUCCAUCUGUGUAUGGUUACUCCAACUACAGUUACACUCCAAUGCGUAGAUCAAUUCUAAAUUCCCAAACCAUUUUGUAAAUCUCGCAUGCUACACCCGAGAGUUUCGGGAAAAGCAAAAGUUCAAAUAUUAGUUGUGGUACGAAAAUUAAGACACUUGAUGUACUAUCAUGUACUCCCUCUGUUUCUAAACAUAAGCCUUUUUGAGAUGUUCCUAGGGACUCAUACGGAUGUAUAUAGACAUAUUUUAGAGUGAGAUUCACUCAUUUUCCUCCGUAUGUAGUCCAUAUUAAAAUCUCUAAAGGGCUUCUAUAUAGGAACGGGGGAGUAUUUGUCUUUAAUUGGGGAACAUUCUCUUAUGCAAACGGAGGUACAUCUUUACCUGCAGAUAGAAAAGUACAAAUGUCAAACAAUAUAUAGAGGGGUAUAGAGAGAGUGGUGAAGAUCAUUUAGGCAGGGCAACAUAAUCAUGUGAACCAGAUCCUGACUAUUAUGUACAAAGCAGCACCAAUUAGUUUCUUAAAAUUAAAAUAAAGAAUUGAGCAUUAACCUCUAUAUAUGACUGGGGAGCAAUGUACGUGUAUAUCUCACAAAAUUCAAGGUGCAUAGUAUACAGGAAAGAGCGUGUGUAUGCAUGCUAUACGUUGAGUUGAGCCUGCCUGCCUGCCUGUCGGCGACCACACUUGCAUAUAGCCACGAGCAGUCCUCGUCUAUGAUAACGUAUGUGACUCUUUGCCAGCUGCCGAUAGGGCGUGUGGUAGAACAUGAACUAACAUAUUGAUGACCGGAUCACCAAAUACAGUGGCAAAUACUAUGAUUUCCAAACACAUUGUGGUUUUCAAAAUAUUGCUGAAAACUGUAGCCACACACUCACGCAAUAUUACAGGUGGGACCCCACCAUGUCACACUACUGCUUCCUCCUCAUCAUUGUCAUCCUGACCGCUAGGCCCAGAUUCUUUCGGGGCUCCACUUGUCGGUGUCGUGUGGAUCUUCGACUCGAUGUCCGGCGUCGCCGUAGUGAAAGGCGAGGGCGUGACACAAACAGAGCCUAAAUCAUGUCCUCGAACAAGUCUAUGAAAUAAUCCAAUCCUUCUACUGCACAAUCUAGUAAAUCCCAUGUAAAGAAUGCAUAUUGAGAUGCAUGAUACAUUACUGAAUUUUGCAUCUAUAAGGCCUACCGAAGUCAGCCUACAUCGGUAACUUCCUGCACGCAAACUAUACUUUGCUGUAUUUUGCAUGUAUCAAAUAAUGAGCCUCACUAAAUCAAGCAUACACAUGUCAGUACAGAGAACGACUGCUCAUGCAAAAUCGUUAAUUCAGAAAUUAGGCAAGCUGCUAAAUUCAGUACAAUUCCUAGAUCGAAGCAAGCGUACAACUGAUGUGGCCGCUCCCUGUGCACCCUCGGCAGCGUGGAGGCACGACGCCAUGCGGCCUCGUUCGCUAGUGGCCGCCUUGCAUGCGUCCACAUCCCCGGUGGGGGUCGCAGCUCCCGUGUGCGGCGUUGAGGCAAUGAGUGUGAGUUUCAGUGACAACAGUAAUAUGCAGAUGUCUACAUAAGCAGUAACAUAAUUGUAGCAUGAAUCAGUUGAUUCCAAGACACGUCUUCUAGACGGUAGGGUUGCAAGUGCACGGUCUUUAAUCUCUACCUCUGAGCAGCCAUGUGAGGGCAGAAAAAAGGGUUAGGAGGGAGACGGGGUGGUUCGCUGUACCUGCACAUCAAGUGGCGGUGCUCGGAGAACUCGGUCUCGCCCGUUGGACGGCGGGUGACGGGACGGUGGAGGAGCAGCCGUACGCUCGCCUGGAUCCUGUUGGUGGUGGUGCUUGAGGCCUACAAGAUCUAGCUGCCACGGAUGAGAGGACGAAUAAGUGGAGAACGAAGGCCAUGGCGAGGCCCCUUCAUCGCUCGGAUUCCAUGGGCUGCCGCGUCGAGAUGGCCGGGAGACGUCAGAUCCGUGCCGCCGUGUCACGAGUAGCAGCAGUCGGAGAUGGAGAGGGGUGUCGGCACCAGGGACGAUUCUAAGGGGGGACGAGGGGGGGCGAGACCCCCCCUAACGAUCGAGUGCUCCCUCGAUAACGAUUAGCGAUCCACUAAAUUUUCUGCUUGCCUCCAUGUACGUAACCUGCUUCGCCCCCCCAUCCUCAGCCCAUGUGUACAGCCCAUUAGAUUUUUUUUGAGUUGGUAGAGCCCAUUAGAUAUGGAGCACUAACAUGGGGAGCAACUAGUUUUACCUCAAAAAAAAAAAAAACUAGUUAACGAGCGCUCCGAGCGCUCGUAACGAGCGGUUCGGGAGCGCUCCGCACGUGACAAGUGUCGUGUCGCGCGCGGAGCGCUCCCGCAAGGGAAAACCAAUUGCGC